UAGAUCACCAGGUUAAUUGAGUGGAGAUGAAAAGAGCUUUAUAUUCAGUGUUAUUGCAUGGUCUGCAGGCGGUGCUCACAGCAAGCCAAGAAAACUGACUUGUCUACAAAAGUAUCAUAACAUAGGGUGAGGAGGAUAUCCACUUCAAGGGGGGAUUGGCCUGGGACUCCAAGCUGAAGAGAGGUAAUGAUCUCACGGUUCAUGGGAUGGAGCACUGCAUCAGGUUCUG